AGGGAUGUAGCUCAGUGGCAGAGCAUUUGCCUUAUAUGGGCAAUGCCCUGGGUUCGAUCCCCAGCACCACAC
rnacentral:tRNA from 1 species